AGGACGAACGCUGGCGGCGUGCUUAACACAUGCAAGUCGAGCGGUAAGGCCCUUUCGGGGGUACACGAGCGGCGAACGGGUGAGUAACACGUGAGCAAUCUGCCCUUCACUCAUGGAUAACCUCCGGAAAACGGUGGCUAAUACACGAUGCGACCACCGACCGCAUGGUCUGGUGGUGGAAAGUUCUGGCGGUGGAGGAUGAGCUCGCGGCCUAUCAGCUUGUUGGUGAGGUAAUGGCUCACCAAGGCUUCGACGGGUAGCCGGCCUGAGAGGGUGACCGGCCACACUGGGACUGAGACACGGCCCAGACUCCUACGGGAGGCAGCAGUGGGGAAUAUUGGACAAUGGGCGAAAGCCUGAUCCAGCAACGCCGCGUGAGGGAUGACGGCCUUCGGGUUGUAAACCGUCUUUCAGCUCCGACGAAGCGAAAGUGACGGUAGGAGCAGAAGAAGCACCGGCCAACUACGUGCCAGCAGCCGC
rnacentral:rRNA from 1 species